rnacentral:rRNA from 1 species
UUGGGCUCAAACCUAAAGAACCCAAAUAUCUAAACGGAGAGAUUCAAUACUGAACUUAACACUCAGUGUGCACUUCUCUCUUAGUAAGACGCCGUGAUCCAUUAGAAAUUGGUAGACGCCAGUCUAUAUGAGGUCAUCAAUGGGCUUGUACGAAGUUUAUUGGAACGAAUGGCAURAUCUUUCAACGGUUGUGUGUAUUGUCUGGUAAGCGUGCGAGUACUCGUAAUGACUGUCUGAUGGAUUUUAAAGAUUGUAUCACUGAUGUUACGGCAUCACUCGCUUCGGCGAGCGUUUGAUAUGUAUCCGAUCAACGGCGGUUAAAUUUGGGAUACCUUUUGGACCCGUCUUGAAACACGGACCAAGGAGUCUAUCUAAUGUGCGAGUAAAUGAGUUGUAAACUUAUUUGCGUAAUAAACGUAACUAUUUAAUGGGAUUACGAGUCACCAUGCUCUUCCAUCCCGGAGUAUUUUCAUCCACAUAUACGCAAGUAUAUGGAAAAUAUAUCAUGAGCAUAUUGGAUACGACCCGAAAGAUGGUGAACUAUGCUUGAUCAGGUCGAAGUCAGGGGAAACCCUGAUGGAGGACCGAAGCAGUUCUGACGUGCAAAUCGAUUGUCAGAAUUGAGCAUAGGGGCGAAAGACCAAUCGAACCAUC